rnacentral:rRNA from 1 species
CUAGCUGUAAACGAUGGAUACUAGGCGUUGAGAGUAUCGACCCUCUCAGUGUCGUAGCUAACGCGUUAAGUAUCCCGCCUGGGGAUACGCGCGCAAGCGUGAAACUCAAAGGAAUUGACGGGGGCCCGCACAAGCGGUGGAGUAUGUGGUUUAAUUCGAUGCAACGCGAAGAACCUUACCAGGGCUUGACAUGUCCGGAACCCUGCCCAAAGGCGGGGGUGCCUACGGGAACCGGAACACAGGUGGUGC